UGCCAGCAGCCGCGGUAAUAUGGACGGUGCAUGCGUUAUCCGGAAUCACUGGGUUUAAAGGGUGCGUAGGCGGCGCUAUAAGUCAGAGGUGAAAGGCCACAGCUUAACUGUGGGACUGCCUUUGAUACUGUAGUGCUUGAAUUAGGCUGAGGUCGGCGGAAUGUGACAUGUAGCGGUGAAAUGCUUAGAUAUGUCAUAGAACACCAAUUGCGAAGGCAGCUGACUAGACCUUAAUUGACACUGAGGCACGAAGGCGUGGGGAGCGAACAGGGUUAGAUA
rnacentral:rRNA from 1 species